UACGUAGGGGCAAACGUUGUCCGGAUUUACUGGGUGUAAAGGGUGCUCAGGCGGUCUUGUAAGUCAGAAGUGAAAUCCUAGAGCUUAACUCUGGAACUGCUUUUGAUACUGCAAGGCUUGAAUAUGGAAGAGGAGGGUGGAAUUUCUGGUGUAGCAGUGAAAUGCGUAGAUAUCAGAAAGAACACCAGUGGCGAAGGCGGCCCUCUGGUCCAUUAUUGACGCUAAAGCACGAAAGCGUGGGGGAGCAAACAGG
rnacentral:rRNA from 1 species